AAAUAAAAGUUUUGCAAAUUAUAUCAUUCUCUAAUACAUUUAUAUUUUAUAUAUGGUAACAUUAUACAUACCACAUAACAUUUUUGGUUUUAUAUAAUCUUUUCUAAAUUAGGAUGAUUUGAUAUGUUUAAUAUUAGUGGUCUUAAAAAUAAUAAAUUAAAGAUUUAACCGUAUUGAAACGGUGUAUUAAUUAUAUUUUACUUUUUUAUUAAUGUUGAUUCAAAAACCCGUCACUCCAAAUCCGUCUUGCCAAAAAGCUAUUUAUUUUAUUAAUAUUAAUUUUAUUAAUAUAUGACUCUGAAUUAUAAUCUAAACAUUUUAGCUAAUAACAUAGGAGUAUACCAUUUUUAUUUAAUAGGGGAAUGUACCAUAUGACCCGAAUGCACUUUUACCCAAUUCCACCAAAAAAGUCUUGCAAAAAUACUAUAGAGAUAAAAAAUGAUAGUCGGUUUUGAUAGGUAUAAGAUUAGCAAAUAUAUUAGUUAGCUUAAAUUAGUUAAAGAAUACAAAUUGAAAAGGUAUAUUACACUUUAUUCGAAUAUAGUAUCAAAACUUAUAUAACACAGAGAUUUGAUAAAUUUUUAAUUGUUGAAUACUUUUUUUGUGCUAAUUUUUAUGUGAUUAAGAUUUAAUUUAAGAUUUAAUUGAUUUUGUAUAUAAAAUAUUAAAAGUAAAUUGUGAGUUGUAUAUGUUUUGUUGAUAUUAUCUAUAUUGUUUAGUGUUUAAGAUUAUACACUUGUAGUUUGAUUGUUAAUUUAAGAGUUUUACCUGUAGUAUACCAUCUUGUAUUAAUAUCGAUCUAAACCCGUCAAUUCUAGGAUUUUCUAGCUUGUAUUAACAAUUGAAUUACAUCAUACACAUAAAAAAAUCUAAUAUGUUAUUAAUUAUUGUAGUAUAUAAGAUUAUAAAUUUUCAAUAUAAUAUGUAUGAAAUUGAAUAUAAAUAUUUUAAAUUAUAACUCGUUACUCAGUAGAAAAUUUUCUUAAAUCUAUUUUUCAUCCGUUAUAAUACUUUUUUAUGUAUUGAACAGUUUAUAUUCGUUUUCAAAAAUUCAAAUUAUAGCAUAUGCGAAAAAACUCUAAUUAUUUUUUUAUAAUGAUGAUAUUAUUUUUCGCAAAAAUAGAAUCAUAUAAAGAUGAGAAGUGAACUAUAAUAAUUAAUAAAAAAUUAAUAUGAUAAUUUAGAUAUCAAAUCUAAUUUGUUGAUUUUAAUAGGUUACUUUUUUGGAAAUUAAUAAUGUAUUUCGUUUUUCUAAUUAAAUUAAAU
rnacentral:sRNA from 1 species